CGCUUUGCACAGUGGCAGUGUUAUAGCCAGUGAAGUUUAUCCAAGGUGCAAUCAUUGCUAAUUGAAAUCUUUCCCUGAUACUUCGCCAUGACAACUUGAAAUGUACUACUCGGCAUUGGCAAUCUUUAACAAUCUCUGUGGAGA